UACGGAGGGUGCGAGCGUUGUCCGGAAUCAUUGGGCGUAAAGGGCGCGUAGGUGGCCCGGUCAGCGUGCGGUGAAAGCUCGGGGCUCAACCCCGAGUCGGCCGUGCGAACUGCUGGGCUUGAGCACUGUAGAGGCAGGCGGAAUUCCUGGUGUAGCGGUGAAAUGCGCAGAUAUCAGGAGGAACACCGGUGGCGAAGGCGGGUCUCUGGGCAACAACUGACGCUGAGGAGCGAAAGCGUGGGGAGCGAACAGG
rnacentral:rRNA from 1 species